UACGUAGGGUGCAAGCGUUAUCCGGAAUUAUUGGGCGUAAAGAGCUCGUAGGCGGUCUGUCGCGUCUGCUGUGAAAUCUGGGGGCCCAACCCCCAGCCUGCAGUGGGUACGGGCAGACUAGAGUGCGGUAGGGGAGAUUGGAACUCCUGGUGUAGCGGUGGAAUGCGCAGAUAUCAGGAAGAACACCGAUGGCGAAGGCAGAUCUCUGGGCCGUAACUGACGCUGAGGAGCGAAAGCAUGGGGAGCGAACAGG
rnacentral:rRNA from 1 species